rnacentral:rRNA from 1 species
UAGGGAAUAUUAGAAAUGGCCGAAAGUCUGAUCUAGCCACCCCGCGUGUGCGCAGAAGGCCUUCGGGUCGUAAAGCACUUUUUGGAAGGAAUAGGAAGGAAUGUACUUCCAGAAUAAGUCUCGGCUAACUACGUGCCAGCAGCCGCGGUAACACGUAGGAGGCAAACGUUAUCCGGAUUUACUGGGCGUAAAGCGCGUGUAGGUGGUACGGUAAGUAGGGCGUGAAAGCUCCUGGCUCAACGGGGAGAGGCCGUUCUAAACUACAGAACUAGAGGAUGGUAGAGGGAGGUGGAAUUCCAGGUGUAGCGGUGGAAUGCGCAGAUAUCUGGAGGAACACCGGUGGCGAAGGUGGCCUCCUGGACCAUUCCUGACACUCAGACGCGAAAGCUAGGGUAGCAAACG